rnacentral:tRNA from 7 species
GGGCCGUUAGCUCAAUUGGUAGAGCAACUGACUCUUAAUCAGUAGGUCGCAGGUUCGAUCCCUGCACGGCCCACCA